rnacentral:tRNA from 2 species
GCCCGGGUGGCGAAACUGGCAAAAGCAGCGGCCUUAAAAGCCGCCGCCCCCUCGGGGGCUUGCGGGUUCGAGUCCCGCCCCGGGCA